UUCCUCUAGAAAAAAGGAGGUAAGGCCUGCUCACUGAAAUAUUAAAGAGCCGCAGUAUCCUGACUGUGCUAAGGUAGCAUAAUCAUUCGUCUUUUAAUUGGAGACUGGUAUGAAUGGUUUAACGAGAAAUCAGCUUUUUUUAUCGUAAAGUUCGAAUUUAACUUCUUAGUGAAAAGGCUAAGAUAGAUCAAAAAGACGAGAAGACCCUAUAGAGUUUUACUAGUCCAAAUACUGAUCUUUGAUUCGGUUUUUGCAAAGAGCAUUAUUUAGUUAGUUUUGUUGGGGCGACAUUAAGAUAAAAAAAACUCUUUAUAUAAAAAAUUUUAAUGAAAAUAUGAUUGAUCCUUUAAAAAAGAUUAAAAGAAAAAUUACCUUAGGGAUAACAGCGUAAUCUUUUUUGAGAGUUCUAAUCGACAAGAAGGUUUGCGACCUCGAUGUUGGACUAAAAUUUAGGCAGGGUGCAGCAGUUCUGCUUUUAGGUCUGUUCGACCUAUAGUAUUUUACAUGAUCUGA
rnacentral:rRNA from 1 species